rnacentral:rRNA from 1 species
CCUACGGGAGGCAGCAGUAGGGAAUCUUCCGCAAUGGGCGCAAGCCUGACGGAGCAACGCCGCGUGAGCGAGGACGGCCUUCGGGUUGUAAAGCUCUGUUCUUCGGGAAGAAGGGCGGGAGGGUGAACAGCUCUUCCGCUUGACGGUACCGAAGGAGAAAGCCCCGGCUAACUACGUGCCAGCAGCCGCGGUAAUACGUAGGGGGCGAGCGUUGUCCGGAAUUAUUGGGCGUAAAGCGCGCGUAGGCGGCCGGUUAAGUCCUGUGUGAAAGACCACGGCUCAACCGUGGGGGUGCACGGGAAACUGGCCGGCUUGAGUGCAGGAGAGGGGAGCGGAAUUCCCGGUGUAGCGGUGGAAUGCGUAGAGAUCGGGAGGAACACCAGUGGCGAAGGCGGCUCCCUGGCCUGUAACUGACGCUGAGGCGCGAAAGCGUGGGGAGCGAACAGGAUUAGAUACCCUGGUAGUCCACGCCGUAAACGAUGAGUGCUAGGUGUUGGGGGCGUCAGGCCCUCUGUGCCGAAGGAAACCCAAUAAGCACUCCGCCUGGGGAGUACGGCCGCAAGGCUGAAACUCAAAGGAAUUGACGG